UAACCUGCGUAAGGCUGAUAAAUAUUAGUAUAUCAUCAAGAAAGAAGCAGAGUCUUGACCUUAAAUGUUCAAAAAUAACAAUGAAUCCCAGCAACUGUAGUGAAAAAUAAGAAAAAAGAAAAUCCUGAACAGAUUUUAAUUCUUAAAAAUAUCCAUUUUUCCAAAGUGUGUGUGUAUAUAUAUAUAGAUCAUUUUUCUAUUGAACCAAACAGAAUCUAAAUGUUAAGUACUGGACCAAUGCUUCAAGCUUCUUUUGGGAAUCAAAGCAUAAAAACUAAAGAUCAAAACUAAGCAACUACAAUCAUCAAGAACGUAAAAGAUAAUGGCAAGAAGAUAUAACGUGGUUCGGCCACAAGAAGCCUACAUCCACGGUUGAAACAGCACUGCUCUAAACUUUUAUUUAGAAUGAAAGUUGAUUACAACAGAUGACGAGAUUACAGAGAUAUUAACUCCUCAUAUAAGCUCUAUAUCUCCCUCCAAGAAUCUCUUAUACACUCAUGUGUCUAAUGUAACCUUUUGCUGCCCUUUUAUAACACCUCAGCUACGAAAGAAGAGUGCCAACUGUUAUUCUUUAACUAACAGAUUUAACAGCCAAAAAAGAACUCAUGCCAACUCAGCAUGCCACCUCAUUCAGUUUAACGGAAUAUAACUAUUUGCUGGCUUCACAAAUCUCCACCUAGUUUUAUUCUGUUAAAGCUUCUUUCAGUCACUGAAUCAUCUAUUGCAAUUUGAUCUAUUGAUUAACCAUACCAAUCAAAUUCAAAGCAGCUUUGAACUUGACUGAUGGCAGAGGCUUCGUAAGCAUGUCUGCAGGGUUACAUUUUGAUGCAAUCUUAAUUACAUUUACAACUUCUUGAGCAAUCUCAUCUCUGAUGAAGUGUAACCUUAUAUCCACAUGUUUUGUCCUCUCAUGGUAUUUUGGGUUCUUGCUUAACUGAAUGGCACUAGAGCUAUCACAGCCGAUAUUGACUGAUCCUUGCUCCAGUCCUAAUUUUGUAACUAGCCCUUUUAACCAUAUUGCUUCUUUCACUGCUUCUGAGAGUGCUAUAUACUCUGCCUCAGUAAUUGACAAAGCAACUAUUGACUGUAAAGAAGCCUUCCAGCUGACUGCUCCACCACACAAAGUGUAAACAUAUCCAGUGAUUGACCUCAUUUUAUCUAGAUCACCUGCAAAUUCUGAAUCAACAUAUCCUUGAACUUGAUCUGAGCUCUUGUCAACCCUUCCAUAUACUAUACCAUGACCACCUGUACCCUUUAGAUACCUCAACAUCCACUUAGCUGCAUGCCAAUGAUGUUUUCCAGGAUUUGACAUGAAUCUGCUCAGUACUCCAAUUCCAUAAGCCAAAUCAGGUUUGGUGCAGACCAUGGCAUAUAUAAUACAGCCAACCACACUUGAGUAUGGUAUAUUCUUCAUGUGUUCAACCUCUUCAUAUUCUUUUGGCUCUUCCUGUUUUGAGAGUCUGAACUGAGCACCCAGAGGAGUUAAGACUGGUUUGGAUUCUUUCAUUCCAAAUCUACUGAGAACCUUCUCCACAUAUCCUGUCUGAGACAAGAAAAGAGUUUUAGAAACUCUAUCUCUGAUUAUGUCCAUUCCCAAUAUUUUGGUGGCUGGACCUAGAUCCUUCAUUUCGAACUCAGAGCUCAAUUCAUCUUUAAGGCACUCCAGCUCUUCUCUUUGUUUACAUGCCAGGAGCAUGUCAUCCACAUAGAGUAGAAGGUAGAUAAAAUUUCCAGAUGGUAGAGUUUUGAAAUACACACAACUAUCAUAUUUACUUCUGCUGUAGCCAUGUGUGAUCAUAAAUUCAUCAAAUUUCAAAUACCAUUGCCUAGGUGACUACUUCAAUCCAUAUAGACUUUUAUUUAGUAAACAGGCCAUGUCCUCUGAUCUAUCCUUAACAAAACCCUCUAGCUGUUCCAUUAGUAUCUUCUCACUGAGAUCUCCAUGUAAAAAGGCAAUCUUCACUUCCAUUUGAUCCAACUCCAAGUCAUUGUAAGCUGUAAUUGACAACAAGAUUCUUAUUGAGCUAUGUUUGACCACAGGGAAGAACACUUCAUUAAAAUCCACUCAUUCUCUUUGGGUGAACCCCUUUGCUACAAGUCUGGCCUUGUACCUGGCUGGUUCAACUUCUGAGACUCCUUCCUUUAUCUUAUAUAUCCAUUUACAGCCUACUAGCUUCUGGUCAACUGGUUUCUUUACUAAAGUCCACGUCUUAUUCUUUUUAAGUGAGGCCAUUUCUUCUUCCAUGGCAGCUACCCACUUCCUUUUAUCCUUGGUUCUCAUAGCUUGCUUGUAGGUUGCUGGUUCCUCACUUGUUUCAGCUUCAGCUACUGCCAAAGCAUAGGAUAUAAGAUCUGCAACUCCAUAUCUUUUAGGCAUUUUAAUGGUUCUUCUUACUCUAUCCAUUGCUAGCUGAUAUCCUUCCAGUUCAGAAUGUGUUUGCUUUUGAUGCUGUUUUGCUUCUUUUGGUGACUCCACCUCCAGCUCAACAACUCCCUUUUCUUCAGAGCUUGUAUUAGUUAUUUUAGUCUCAACUCUUGACUAUGUCAGGGCUUCUUCAUAAAAAAAUAACAUCCCUGCUAAUAAAGGUUCUGGUGGGUUUCCCAUUUAUGCUCCAUAUUUUGUACCCUUUAAUGCCCUCUGGGUACCCAAUAAAAUAACCUUUCACAGCCCUUGGUUUCAGCUUGCCCUGGUUAAUGUGCGCAUAAGCAGGGCAACCAAAGACUUUUAGAUUGCUGAGAUCAGGUGGCUUCCCAGACCAGACUUCCUAAGGUGUUUUGAACUCCAGAGCUGAUGAUGGACUUCUGUUAAUGAGAUAUGCAGCUGUAACAGCAGCUUCAGCCCAAAAAUGUUUGGAGAGAUUUGAGCUCAACAACAUGCAUCUGACCUUUUCAAUCAAGGUCAUAUUCAUCCUUUCAGCAAGUCCAUUUUGCUGAGGUGUAUGCCUUACUGUCUUGUGCCUUGCAAUGCCCAGCCUUUUACAGAACUCAUCAAAUUCAUUACUGCAGUAUUCUAGCCUAUUAUCAGUUCUGAGCCUUUUCACUUUCCUCCCUAUUUGAUUCUCCAUUAGAGCUAUCCAUUCCUUGAACUUAUCUAGGGCUUCACUUUUAUGCUUCAAAAUGUAAACCCAAAGCUUUCUUGAGUAGUCAUCUAUGAAGGUGAUAAAAUAUCUAGCUCCACUAUGAGAUGGAACUUGGGAGGGUCCCCAAAUGUCAUAAUGGAUGUAGUCUAGGGUCUGUUUAGUUUCAUGCUUGCCUGUGUUAAAGUUAAGUCUGGUGGCUUUACCAAACACACAUUUUUCACAGAAUUCCAACUGAGAAAUCUGAUCAUGACCAAACAAACCUUGUUUCUCCUGCUCUUUCAUACCCUUCUGACUCAUAUGUCCAAGUCUCAUGUGCCAGAGCUUGGUUUUAUCACUACUUCUGUUGGCAUUUACUCCAAGCUAAGGCACUGACCCAACUAACACAUACAAACCAUUUCUUCUAACACCCUUCAUUAUGACUUCACCUUUAUUUAAGACCUCAAUUUUCCCAUUUUCAGCCUUAAUGCUACAACCCAUUUUAUCCAUCAUCCCAAGAGAAAUCAGGUUCCUUUUUAGUUCAGGGACAUACCUUACUUGUUUAAGCUCUCUGGUUUCUUCAUCAAACAUUUGAAUGUUGAUAGUUCCCAUUCUAGUGACUUUGCAAGCAAGGUUGUUUCCCAGCAGAACUUUUCCACCAUCUAUGUUCUCGAAGGUCUUGAAGAAUUCUUUAUUUGGGCACAUGUGAAAGGAACAUCCAAAAUCAAGAAUCCAUUCAGCUGUGGGUUGUUUUUCUGCAGCAAUGAGGACAUCUGCACCUUCAGCAUCCUCUUCAUCUUCAGAUGCAACUGCUGUUUUUCCAUUUGUCUCCUUUUGCAGCUUUUCAAGUUUCUUCUUCUCGAAACAGUCCUUGAUGUAAUGUCCUUCCCUUUGACAGAAGUAGCAUUUCCUUUUCUUCUUUUUCUUGUUAUUUUUUUCUUUCUGAUUUUUGUUCUUCUUGUCUUUGUUUACUUUCUUUUCUGAUUUUGCUUUGACAAAUCCAUCUCCUGUAGCUUGAUCCUUGAAAUCUAAUAUUUUCUUUAGGUCUUUAGAUUCGAGAGCAUUCUUGACAUCCUUCAAUGUGAGGGUCUGUCUUCCAUAGAGCAAGGUGUCCACGAAAUGCUCAUAGGAGUCAGGCAGUGAGCUCAACAAAAUAAGAGCUCUAUCUUCAUCUUCAAGCAUGACAUUAACGUUUUCAAGAUCGAGUAUCAAUUUAUUGAACUCAUCAAGGUGGUCUUUCAUGGCUGUCCCUUCUUUCAUUGAAAACAUGUAGAGCUUCCUCUUCAUUUACAAUCUUUUAGACAAAGAUUUCUUCAAGAAGAGUUCUUCCAGUUUAGCCCACAAACUAGAGGCUGUCCUCUCUUUGGCUACUUCUCUCAGCACUUCAUCAGACAAGUGUAGAAUGAUAGUCCUGUGAGCUUUGUUGUUUAUAGUUCUUGAGUCUCCACCCAAACUUGAAGAUCCUCCUUCUUUUUCCCUUUUGGACUUUGACUAUUCCCUGGUUUCUUCAUCAAACAUUUGAAUGUUGAUAGUUCCCAUUCUAGUGACUUUGCAAGCAAGGUUGUUUCCCAGCAGAACUUUUCCACCAUCUAUGUUCUCGAAGGUCUUGAAGAAUUCUUUAUUUGGGCACAUGUGAAAGGAACAUCCAAAAUCAAGAAUCCAUUCAGCUGUGGGUUGUUUUUCUGCAGCAAUGAGGACAUCUGCACCUUCAGCAUCCUCUUCAUCUUCAGAUGCAACUGCUGUUUUUCCAUUUGUCUCCUUUUGCAGCUUUUCAAGUUUCUUCUUCUCGAAACAGUCCUUGAUGUAAUGUCCUUCCCUUUGACAGAAGUAGCAUUUCCUUUUCUUCUUUUUCUUGUUAUUUUUUUCUUUCUGAUUUUUGUUCUUCUUGUCUUUGUUUACUUUCUUUUCUGAUUUUGCUUUGACAAAUCCAUCUCCUGUAGCUUGAUCCUUGAAAUCUAAUAUUUUCUUUAGGUCUUUAGAUUCGAGAGCAUUCUUGACAUCCUUCAAUGUGAGGGUCUGUCUUCCAUAGAGCAAGGUGUCCACGAAAUGCUCAUAGGAGUCAGGCAGUGAGCUCAACAAAAUAAGAGCUCUAUCUUCAUCUUCAAGCAUGACAUUAACGUUUUCAAGAUCGAGUAUCAAUUUAUUGAACUCAUCAAGGUGGUCUUUCAUGGCUGUCCCUUCUUUCAUUGAAAACAUGUAGAGCUUCCUCUUCAUUUACAAUCUUUUAGACAAAGAUUUCUUCAAGAAGAGUUCUUCCAGUUUAGCCCACAAACUAGAGGCUGUCCUCUCUUUGGCUACUUCUCUCAGCACUUCAUCAGACAAGUGUAGAAUGAUAGUCCUGUGAGCUUUGUUGUUUAUAGUUCUUGAGUCUCCACCCAAACUUGAAGAUCCUCCUUCUUUUUCCCUUUUGGACUUUGACUAUUCCUCAUCAUCGAGGGCACUAUCCAAGCCCUGUUGAAUCAGAAUGGCUCUCAUCUUAAGACUCCACAAGUAGAAGUCAUUCUCUCCAUUGAAUUUUUCAAGAUCGAAUCUUGUGCUGCCCAUUAUGCCAGAUCAAGAACAGAGUGUCCUUCUGGCUCUGAUACCAACUUGUUAAGUACUGGACUAAUGCUUCAAGCUUCUUUUGGGAAUCAAAGCAUAAAAACUAAAGAUCAAAACUAAGCAGCUACAAUCAUCAAGAACAUAAAAGAUAAUGGCAAGAAGAUGUAACAUGGUUCGGCCACAAGAAGCCUACAUCCACGGUUGAAACAGCACUGCUCUAAACUUUUAUUUAGAAUGAAAGUUGAUUACAACAGAUGACGAGAUUACAGAGAUAUUAACUCCUUAUAUAAGCUCUAUAUCUCCCUCCAAGAAUCUCUUAUACACUCAUGUGUCUAAUGUAUCCUUUUGCUGCCCUUUUAUAACACCUCAUCUACGAAAGAAGAGUGCCAACUGUUAUUCUUUAACUAACAGAUUUAACAACCAAAAAAGAACUCAUGCCAACUCAGCAUGCCACCUCAUUCAGUUUAACGGAAUAUAACUACUUGCUGGCUUCACACUAAAGAGUGAAAAAUAGAAGUGUAAAAUCUUUUGAGUAUUGAACACUAAAGAUUAAUUCAUACUUAAAACAAAAGUCAAUCAAAUCAAAUUCAAUAAAUAUUAUAGAAUCAAAGAAAAGAAAAC
rnacentral:lncRNA from 1 species